rnacentral:rRNA from 1 species
GAGGUUAAGCGACUAAGCGUACACGGUGGAUGCCCUGGCAGUCAGAGGCGAUGAAGGACGUGCUAAUCUGCGAUAAGCGCCGGUAAGGUGAUAUGAACCGUUAUAACCGGCGAUUUCCGAAUGGGGAAACCCAGUGUGACUCGUCACACUAUCAUUAACUGAAUCCAUAGGUUAAUGAGGCGAACCGGGGGAACUGAAACAUCUAAGUACCCCGAGGAAAAGAAAUCAACCGAGAUUCCCCCAGUAGCGGCGAGCGAACGGGGAGGAGCCCAGAGCCUGAAUCAGCAUGUGUGUUAGUGGAAGCGUCUGGAAAGGCGCGCGAUACAGGGUGACAGCCCCGUACACAAAAGCGCAUGUGCUGUGAGCUCGAUGAGUAGGGCGGGACACGUGGUAUCCUGUCUGAAUAUGGGGGGACCAUCCUCCAAGGCUAAAUACUCCUGACUGACCGAUAGUGAACCAGUACCGUGAGGGAAAGGCGAAAAGAACCCCGGCGAGGGGAGUGAAAAAGAACCUGAAACCGUGUACGUACAAGCAGUGGGAGCACCCUUU